AUUAUUACUAUUAUUAUUACCCAGUGACUGCAUCACUAAGAAUUGUUGCAUCUUUUGCUAUCUUAAAGGUCAAAGACGAGUUCUACUCCUUUAAGUGCCAAGAAGAGGUCUUAUUCUGUCCUGCGCCAGAAGACACUGAACGAGAAUUGGAAGCUAAAGCUACCAAAGAAGUCGAAAGGAAACUAAGCAGGGAUUUAGUGAAAGAAGAGGAAGAACAGUUGAUGGAAGAAAGGAAAAAGAGAAAGGACGACAAGAAAAAGAAGGAAGCUGCUCAAAAGAAGGUAAUGUGUAUUUAAAUAUCAACAUUUAAUUUUAAAAAUGAAAAUUGCUUCACCUAAAGUUUUUUCCAAAAGCCUUUGUUGCAUUGUAUCUGCAAAGGGAUGCUCUCUCCACUGUACCACCUUGCUUAAUUAAUUAAGAAAACAUGAAGUCAAGAUAACCAAUUAGGAAGCUGUUACAAUAGUCAUUUCAGGGUUCAAAGGGACCUCAGUUGUUAUUUAGUCUAACCCAUCCCCUCAAAAGAAUACCUUUUACACAAUGCUAGGCAAAC
rnacentral:lncRNA from 1 species